GCGGACCCCCCCCUGCUGUUGAGCAGCACCUACCCGUGCUGCACGCUGCCCGCCCGCCGCCUGCCCCCCCACGGCCUGCCCGAGAAGAAGGGCCCCAUCUCAGCCUCAGAGCUGUCUUUGGCUGCUGCCCCCCGGCGCAUGGAGCCCGGAAUGAUGCCCCUUCCCGACAGCACCGGGCUGGAGUGGGCCAGCCUGGUCAGCGCAGCCAAGGCCUAUGAAGUGAGGACCCCCCCUGGAUCUGACCGGGAAGGUUUUCCAAUUGGAGGCAAUGCUGAAACAGCUGCACAGCGACCUGCAGAAGGAGAAGCACGACAAAGUGGUGCUGCAGGCCGAGGUGGCCGAUCUGCGCCAGGACAACCGGCGGCUGCAGGAGGAGUCGCAGAGCGCCAGCGAGCAGCUCCGGCGCUUCGCACGGCUCUUCGCCACCAACCCCCCCCCAAAAAAGGAAGCUCUGAGCACCCAUGGGUGGGGGGGGGGGGCACGGAGACCCCCCCCACCCAACCAACCUAUGGGGGUCCUAUGAGGCCCAGAGUGGUCCUAUGGGGUUUCUAUGGGACCGGGAGCGGUGAUACGGACUGCAGCUGAGGUGCUUCGCCAGCAGCCCCCCCCCAAAAAAGGAGCUCUGAGCACCCAUGGGUGGGGGGGGGGGGCACGGAGACCCCCCCCCACCCCACCGCCCAACCCCACCCAUGGGGGUCCUGUGGGGUUUCUAUGGGACCGGGAGCAGUGAUACAGACUAUGGGACCGGGAGCUGCAGUGCUUUGUCAGUGACCCCCCCCCAAAAAGGAGCUCUGAGCACCCAUGGGUGGGGGUGGGGGGCACGGAGACCCCCCCACCCAACCAACCUAUGGGGGUCCUAUGAGGCCCAGAGUGGUUCUGUGGGGUCCUGUGGGGUUUCUAUGGGACCGGGACUGUUCGUAUGGACCAAAGCUGCACUGCUUUACUGCCACCCCCUCCCAAAAAGGAGCUCUGAGCACCCAUG
ensembl:lncRNA